CCCCGCUGUUAAGCAGCAGACCAUGCUGCUGCUGGAAAGGCAAGAAGAUGGCUGUCUGACCCCCAGCAACAGGUAGGCAUGAUAUGCUCAGGUGUGUGUGUGUGUCUGUCUGUCUGCUAGUGAGGAAGCUUGUGUGUGUGUGUGUGGACUCAGCAGUCUGUCUGUGUGUAUGGACUCAGCACUCUGUGUGUAUGGACUCAGCAGUUUGUGUGUAUGGAU